rnacentral:rRNA from 1 species
CAGCCGCCGCGGUAAUACGAAGGGUGCAAGCGUUAAUCGGAAUUACUGGGCGUAAAGCGCACGUAGGCGGCUUGGUAAGUUAGAGGUGAAAGCCUGGAGCUCAACUCCAGAAUUGCCUUUAAGACUGCCGAGCUAGCAGGUGAGAGAGGUAAGUGGAAUUCCGAGUGUAGAGGUGAAAUUCGUAGAUAUUCGGAAGAACACCAGUGGCGAAGGCGGCUUACUGGCUCAUACUGGACGCUGAGGUGCGAAAGCGUGGGGAGCAAACAGGAUUAGAUACCCGCGUAGUCCCUGUCUCUUAUAC